rnacentral:rRNA from 1 species
UCCUNAAUAAUUUCAGUGGCGCCUACCCAGUGAAUUUUUUCAACGGAUCUAGUUUUAUUAAAGUAGCGAAAUCAUUUGUCUUUUUAUUGAAGACCUGUAUGAACGGUAUAAACAGAAAGGAACUAUUUCAAAUUAAAAAAGAGAAUUUAAUAUUAAGGUGAAAAAUCCUAUAAAAAAGAGUGGGACGACAAGACCCUAUAGAAUUUUAUGAUUUUCAAUAUUAAUAAAGUAUCCGAAAUCAUUUUGUUGGGGCAACAUAGGAAAAAGCUUCCUAAACCAAAAGUUUUAUUAUGAUAAAAAAGAAAAUCCUUUAAAAGAAUUAAAAAAAUUACCUUAGGGAUAACAGCGUAAUCUUCUUUGAGAGACCUUAUCGACAAGAAGGUUUGCGACCUCGAUGUUGGACUAAGAUAUCUUUUAAGUUGCAGAAGCUUAAAAAAGUUAGCCUGUUCGGCUAUUAAAAUCUUACAUGAUCUGAGUUCAGACCGG